rnacentral:misc_RNA from 1 species
AAGGAUAAUACAUAAAUUCAUCAUCUUCAGUUUUGAAAGACUUAGAUUGAAAAAAUAAGUUUUUCUUUUUUAAGCACCAAAGGGCCUAUAGCUCAGUUGGUUAGAGCACACGCCUGAUAAGCGUGAGGUCGGUGGUUCAAGUCCAUUUAGGCCCACCAAUAGAUUAAUAUAAACGGUCCUGCUUAAAAGAAAGUUCUUUGAAAAGUAGAUAAAUAUAGCUUUUAAAUUCUCUUCAUAAAAUU